GCAUUGGUGGUUCAGUGGUAGAAUUCUCACUUUCCAUGAAGGAGGCCUGGGUUCGAUCCCCAGCCAGUGCA
rfam:Loxodonta africana unplaced genomic scaffold scaffold_31, whole genome shotgun sequence.